rnacentral:rRNA from 1 species
GAUGAACGCUGGCGGCGUGCCUAAUACAUGCAAGUCGAGCGAAUGGAUUAAGAGCUUGCUCUUAUGAAGUUAGCGGCGGACGAGUGAGUAACACGUGGGUAACCUGCCCAUAAGACUGGGAUAACUCCGGGAAACCGGGGCUAAUACCGGAUAACAUUUUGAACCGCAUGGUUCGAAAUUGAAAGGCGGCUGCGGCUGCCACUGAUGGAUGGACCCGGGUCGCAUUAGCUAGUUGGGGAGGUAAUGGCUCAACAAGGCAACGAUGCGUAGGCGACCGGAGAGGGUGACCGGACACACUGACACUGAGACACGGGUCAGACUCCUACGGGAGGCAGCAGUGAGGAAUUUUGGACAAUGGGGGAAACCCUGAUCCAGCGACGCCGCGUGAAGGAUGAAGGUCUUCGGAUUGUAAACUUCUUUUGCCUGGGAAUAACGACUUCGUAGAAAUGCGAAGAAUGAAUGGACCAGGCGAAUAAGCCACGGCUAACUUCGUGCCAGCCGCCGCAGUAA